GUCGGCGUUUUUUUCUCGGCGGGUGCGGAAGUGAAAACAGUAAUUACGUUGUGGAAAAAGCUGAUUUUUCAUCACAGCGAGUUGCUAUUCUACCGCUUUUUCUUCGUGGUGCGCUAGUUCGAGUGUCGUAGCAGAAUAAUUAACAAAGGGUCUUGAAAGAGGAAAGGCUCGCACGAAAUGGUUGGAUCUCGUGUGUACGUCGGCGGCUUGCCCUACGGCGUUCGCGAGCGCGAUUUGGAGCGAUUUUUCAAGGGUUACGGCCGAACCCGAGACAUUCUGAUCAAGAAUGGAUACGGUUUUGUGGAGUUCGAGGACUAUCGUGAUGCCGACGACGCCGUGUACGAGCUGAACGGGAAAGAGCUGCUAGGAGAAAGGGUGGUCGUAGAGCCGGCGCGUGGAACCGCCCGUGGACCGAGCGGCUAUCGUGAACGAGAUCGGUAUGAUAGGGAUCGUGGUCGUGGUGGUCGUUAUGACAAAUAUAAAAGCAAUUCCAGGAACAGUUCCCGCUAUGGACCGCCGCUGCGCACGGAAUACCGCCUGAUUGUGGACAACCUUUCAACUCGCGUUAGCUGGCAGGCGGCAGCCCUUGCUAGAUGACGAAAGUGGUCUAAUGAAACUAGGGUUUACGCAAUUACACGGUGCCUGGCUCCGCAUGACUAUUGGCUAGGAACAGGAAAAGAGGUUUGAGAGAAUUCGAUGCGAACGCGCAGCACACAGGAACACAUCCGUGGUGUACGGCUGACGGUGUUGCUGCGCGCAGCCAAGAGCGGCUACAGUAUAAGCGAUACCGAUGACCUUUACCGGACGGAUCUAGAGCUCAGCUUGUGAUGAUGUGGACACGAGCGAGCAAACUGAUGUGAUCUUCCUCAAUUGUUGCGGUGGCCCUUGGUGGAUUCCCUAUAUCUUAGCGACGAAACACGGUUGUAACGGAUAUCCUACAAACCGGACCAUGGUCUUCGCACACUAGAAGGAUGGAGACACUCAUAAUGGGUCCACGCUUACCGAUGUCUCGCUGGCAGCAAAUCUCAGAACGGAAGCGGAAGACUACUUUACACACAAGCAAGCACGCACUGGGUGGACAUCGUUGUUGAUGAUGGAUGACGGAAGAACCCCCGGGCAAUCAUGGCACGACUUCUUCUUACUCUACCGAUCGCCCAAGCAGAACAAAAACUUGUGCCUCGUCCUCGGAUUGCUCCUUCGGCUACCCCGGCCUGAUGCUUGAACUUCCUGGGCGGGCGAUGCGUGGUGGUGCGGUGCGGGCGAUGUGAGCGAGCGUCGUUGUACCAAGACGAUAAAGACCACUGCCCAACGCAGGCCACAACUGUGGCUCCCUGAAUACAUCAUUCUCAUUUGCACACACUCAUAUCACGGCAUGGAUCACGGACCCGGGCUGACGCGCGGCUAGCUCAACCAAUCCUGAAGUGCAGUUCUGUCGAUUCCGUGUUGUGCAUACGGAAAACCAUCCAACACAAUAAUCGAUUCUAAGGGCUCAUUUUGGCAAAGAUUUUAACUCCACGCGUCCAUUUUCCUCUGCGCAACUUGUUGUCGUGAGUGAUCGCGCUUCAAUCGAGUCGAGAUGGUUUGCAAUCACACGUGACCGGCAUAUCCAAUUGAUGAUACCCGUGCAACGGCCAUACGCGACGGAUGUUUCUGGAGGAUCAGACUAUCUCCAUAGACGAUGGCAGGACCGAGAUAAUGAUAGCUUACGAUGGUUAUUGACCCGAGCAGCCAGGAAACAGAGACACGGAUAUGGAUGAAGGCGAACCAAAGCACACCACCCAAUGGAGAGAUGCGUAUGGGCAUCGUCUUUCCUCUAUUCGUUUUCUCUAUUUCUAUUUUUAAGAUAGAUCAUUCGUUCUCUCUAAACCCGGUUCUGAGUGCAUCGUCGCGGACACAUUUCCCACUUCUGAAGGGUAGUACACGACAGGGUCGUGUUUACCGGCGGAGAAGGAAUCCAGGAACGGCCCUUUGAUCCGAUCUAACUGCCAUUUCAUCGAGCCCCCUUGUGUAUAUGCGAAAAGUGUGUCAUCCGUGUUGAGGUCAACUCCAUUUGCCUGUGACCGUGAUCGCUCGUCCUGCUGAUUGAUCAUGGGCACGGAUAGCUUGUAUCAUCGCGGUAGCUCAAUUGAUGUCCAACCCCAGUGGUGGCGGCUUCACUGCAUCCGUUCAACGGCGCAUCUCGUAGUUGAAGGGUCGGUACGAUGCAACCUGGAAGCUCAGCCCUCUUCCCCAACACAGACGUACAUGAUGAGAGGUCCACUCUGGCUGGCUCUGGCGAAGGAGACGGCAAUGAAUGAUGAAGGUUCAAUGGUCAGGAUAGAGGAAGAGAAGGCGAGGAGGCAUGAUGCAAUGAUUGACUGUCCCCCCCCCAAAAUACCAUAUCUGUCCGGCAG